CACUGUCUUAUGCAUCUGUUAGUGUGCGGUCUUAGACACUCUGAGUUCUCUGACACCAAACAACUAGUUGGCAAUGGCUUCCGAGCUUCUUUGGAGAACUCGUGAGAAAGGCUAUAUUGAUUAGUCAUCCAUGUACAUAGAAAAUAGAACAGGACUUACUGUCUACCAGCUACAGCUUAAUUAUAAUUGGCUCUCAUAAUUAAAAAUUAUAAACUGUUUACACUAAAUAAUGUACUUCAGGAGAAGUGUAGAGUGACGACUCACUUCACUUGAAUACCCAUCUAAAAGCACAUAGUAAACAGGUGGCCUUUGUGAGUUUAGGUUUCUCCGAACCCAGUAACUCCUGAGGAACCCAAGGUACCUUCUGUUUGUCCACAUCCCUCCAUAACUAAGUUAGAACUCAAAUUCUAACUCCGUCUCUUCCAUUUGUCUUAAGACAUUUUUCCAUUCAAUUACUCAAAACACAUCAUUGAGUAUCUCCUGUAACUUAAGCAUUCACACUCACUCACACGUGUACACACACUCACACUCACACUCUCAUACACACUCUCACAACUCUCACAGACAUAUACUCAUACUCACAACACACACACUCACACACACAUGCCCACACACUCACACUCUCAUACACACACAUGCACAGACACACACUCACACACAUAUACACUAAUACACACAAGCUCACACACACGCGCACGCGAAUGCGCGCGCACGUGUGCAUACAGGAACACUUACACUCCCAUACACAUAUGUGUACAGACACACACCCACACUCUCACACACAAACACACUCAGCACACACAUGUGCACACAUAAACACUCACACACUCUCACACACAUACAUCAUACACACACUCAUACACGUGUUCACACAUACAUGUGCACACACAAGCACCCACACUAUCAUACACUCGUACACAGACACACACUCACCCUUACAGAAAAGAUAUCUGCCAACUCAGAUUAUUGUAUCUCAAAAGACAUUACUCGGUCCAGUUAACCAUGAAAACCAUCUAUCUACCUCUAGAUUCUAGAACUUUCCUUUAUCACUGCCUAACUUCAUAGGCUGAGUCAGGAACACUGAGGAGACCGAUGCAAAUCAGCCACGUAGCUGAACUCAGGAUAGAAUGAGGAGGAGACUCGCCCCGACUUAGACACAUGAAGCUGAGGAAAGGUAAGAACCAUGUGGAAGACAUGAAAUAGUUUGGCUGGUUAACUAAGUUAUGAACUACUUGAGGAACAGGUCAAAGCGUGUGGCAUAGGCACUGAUUAAUCAAUGCUCAGUCUCAGAGUCAUCAUUUUGGGAGCAGGGGCAGGGAAGGAAAAAUAGAUUUUUUUUUUUUGCAUUAAACUAGGAGAAGAAGGGUAACCAUAUCUCAGGCUCCCCAGUGCUAGGAGAGCGAUGCUGUCAGAGUGGUACUGAGAAGCCGUGUGUAAUUGUUACAGACAUAAACACCACAAAAGAGAAACACCCUGGGCUGAAGUAAGUCAAUAAGGAAAGUGUCCUAGGACCUUAUAUCCUAUCUAGUCAUGUGUUCUUGGUCCCAAGAACUGUGUCAAAUAUUAGUAUCAGAUUAUGAGAUGUCUUAGUUACUUUUUCUAUGGCUGUGAUAAGACACAAUGGCUAAAGCAACUUACAGAAGAAAAAUGUUUUGGGGGGCUCAUGGUUCCAGAGAAUUAGAGGCCACAUCAUCAUGGCGGGCACCAGAGCAGCAGCUGAGAGCUUACAUCCGAUCCAGCAGGAGUCAGAGAGAGACAGACCGGAAUAGUGCGGGGCUUGGAAACCUCAAACCCCAUCCCCAAUGACACAGCUUCUCCUCCUAAGCCUUUUGUUGGGGUGACCCACACAUAUAAUAUUGAAUGGCUAUGGAAAUGUGUCCUGUUCUCAAUUGUUAAUUUCUGUGCCCAUGGUACCAGGCUGCCAGGAUAUGUAAAUGUUUGUCACUUUCUCAGCUGCCCCAAAAGAAAGGCAAGCUGCCAUGGGGAGGAAUCUUUCCCACUAUGCUAACAGCUUUGUGUGGGAGAAAGAAAUGUGCUAUUUGAGCAAUAAAGAGAUGGCCGCUGGAGCUGGGGCAGAAAAAUGGGACAUCAACCACAAAUGGGGACACACACACCCCCUUUGAAAGCCCCAGAAAAACCUUCCCAACAGCUCCACCAAUCGUGUGCCAAAUAUCUAGAUUAUAAGCCUAUGGGGGCCAUUUUAUUUAAACCACCAUAUGGAGUCUGCUUUAGAUCCAAUAGAAAAGUCUUGGGUACCCCCGUGACAUUCCUGCCACUAUUGAAGACCAGUGGGCGUGUCCUGCCAGGCCAGUGGACGCUGUAGCUCGCAGCUGGAACUUGGGCACAGCACCUUCCAGCAUAUGAAAGCCAGCCAGGAGGAAUAAGUCCUUCAGGAAAAUAACCUAAGGUGAAAGCAGCUUCUUGCUCCUCCAAAGUCUGUGCCUAGGAAGGCGGCUCCCUAGACACAGCACACAGGACGCGAUCCGACGACAUCGGGCUUCCUUUCAAGCUGGUAGCAAAACCUGGAAGAACGGUCCACGUGGCAUUGGUUUUGAAGACAUUAUGCAAGACCAUGCAGGUCACGGUGCCCUGCUCCAUCCACAGUUCAAGGGAAGGUCGGGCCAGGCGUUGUGCUGCAGCGUCAGAGCCCCUGAAAGGAGGAAGUAGCAGGAUUUCGGGCUUGCUUGUUCCAAUGGCUCUCAGCCACGCCCAGAUCCCUCCGUUUCGGAAUGAGGAUGUUCAUUCUGUGCCGUUCAGUGUUGGAAGUCUGUAAUUUGUCUUUAUUUUACAGGAACUCACAGUUGAGAGACUUUGGACUUUUAAAUUGUUAAUGACUGUCAUCACUUUGUGUAUUUGACUGAAAGCAUUUUUUCAUGAGCCUAUGAAACCCAGGAGGUGGCAAUUUAAAGUUUAAAAAUGGUAUGUUCUGGGGUUGGGGAUUUAGCUCAGUCAGUGGUAGAGCACUUGCCUAGCAAGCGCAAGGCCCUGGGUUCGGUCCCCAGCUCCGAAAAAAGAAAAAAAAAAGUGGUAUGUUCUGUUGUCAAGUUAACAAAAACUCCGGUUGUGAUAGAGGUGACAAUUUGACAAGAUCUGGACUUGCCCCCUGCAUGCCUAUUGGGGAUUAUUUGGCCUCUCAGCCAAAUAUCAGAGAUUAUCUUGAUUCCGUUAAUUGAUUUGGGAAGUUCCACCUUAAAUGGGGGGGGGGGGCAUUCCCUGGGUGACACAGUAUACAAGGAGAAAAUGACUGAACAGCACCCAUUACUCCAUUUCUUGACUGGGUCUACGAUGUAAUCAGCUGCUUCCUAUUCUAGUGCCUCGAUUUCCCCAACACGAACGACUAACCCUUAACUGUGACCAUCUUUAGAUGUUUUAGUAGGAUGUCUUAUCACAAGUGACCAAAGGCAUCCUCCUUCUCUCUCCACCCACAUACUGAGGGAGGAAGGCCACAGAUCCCGGUCCGUCUCUCACGUUUCUUCCCUCAUUCCCGCUUCCUCUACAUCCCAUUCCAGAUCAUGUGCAGCGACGUUAUAUACAGCACGAGUUUCACUUCAUAUCAACAAAAGUGGACAUGGAAGAACGGCCACUAGGAAAGAAAGAAAUACGGACAUCAGUGGGUAUAAAAAGCACUUUCUAGACGACCUCUAAAAAGACUUUAGACGUCUCAGCUUGACCUCUGUGCAGAAAUCGCAAUGUACUUGGUAUGCCAGCAAUCUGAUACUGGACCCAAGUCUACUGACUCGCUAUUUGAAAGCCCAGACAUCCUUAAGAGAUGAGAACUGGUAGGAAAGAAAUCACUUCGUUCAAGAACCAGCACCUAGAGUGAUGGAGGAAGGCUAUCAUCACCAGAACAAGACCACGUCAGAGAACUCUGAAACGGGAAAGUUUUCAUGGCUGAGAAAAGAAGGUUCAGGACAACGGGAAGAAAGGCUAUACGCUGGCUGGGGCUUUCAUCAUCCGGGUCUGCUGUUUUCCCUCUCUUCCCCUAAAUACACUUGAAGUGAUUCAUUGGCCACGAUUCUUUAGACAAACGUAUUAUUUCCCUGAGAGAUAAACAUCACUCUGGUUUUAAGUAAAGAGUGAGAUUUGCAAAUCUUUGCCCUGGGCCUUGGUAGUAUCUGAAGAUUGUUAAAUGUACCGGAAAACUAAAAAGAUUACUGGCUACAGACAUUUUAGGAGCAGUGUUUAUUCCGUUUUUUGACUCCAGCAAUUAGCGUCCGAGACAUUCCAAAGCUUUGUUCAGAACUCACAACUUUGGGCAAAGGGAGAAUGAAAAGAAUGAAUUGAUAACUUUACAUGGGCCAGUUUAUAGUGGAGGACCAGCUGAGAAUAAGGUAGUGAACGAUACUUUUUUAAAAAAGAUUUAUGUAUCUAUUAUGAGUACGCUGUAGCAGUCUUCAGACACACCAGCAGAGGGCAUCGGAUCCCAUUACAGACGGUUGUGAGCCACCAUGUGGUUGCUGGGAUUUGAACUCAGGACCUCUGGAAGAGCAGUCAGUGCUCUUAACCGCUGAGUCAUCUCUCCAGCCCAAACUAUACUGUUUUACAAUGCCAUAAAUGUUGUAUGAUAUUAUCAUUAUGGCAUUACCGUUACUGCUGGCACAGAACUACAAUUGCAGUGAAAAGCAAAGACUGUGGCAGAAUUUAUAAGUUAAUUCAAAAAAUAUCCAUUUCAACCACAUCUCCGUAGCAGAGACGAGGAUGUUAAAAAAAAAAAAAAAAAAAAAAAAAAAAAAAACACUUCCCGGACCCCUUGAAGCUAGGGAGAGCUGCAAUUCAGGCUUAACUCUAAGUUCUACUCUCGAAGUCUUGAGCCAAAGCAAAGGUAGAAAGGCGUCCAGUGGAGGCUCGACCUUCAGGUGUGGGCCGUGACUGAGGCAGCGUGGCUCUGUGGCCAGUAACUUCCUGAAUUAAGGCCAAGACACCCUGACUCUGGGGUAGGAAAACUUUACCGAACUGUUUACGUUUUCCUCUUACUGUCCUUUGAGUAGUAUUGUACCAUACCUAAUCCUUAUAAUAAACCGAGUUUUUAUUUAAA